CGCCUCAACACAGAAGUCACUGGUGACGACUGGUUUGUGUUCUUCAGCUCAGCCCAUCCCACUGACAUCCUCUCACCAGCAGGUGGUGCUGCAGUGCACCUUUUCAAGGGAUUCAAAACGGACCUAGCAAUAUGAUCCACUUUACUACCGCUGGAGUUGAUUGAAUCACAGACUGCAGAAGAGUAGACCGUCUCCAGUCUACUAUGGAUGAGGAGAGAGGGGAGGGGGGUCCUACCUCUAAGACCACUCUGUCUGGGGAACAUGGCCGCCGGAGCAAAGCCAAAAGCCCAGAGAAACAGGAUAGAGCAGAUAGCGUCUCCGCGUGACCGCUCUAUGGAACAACCUCAUAACUUUAAAGACGGAAAUCCGUCUAUUGAAAAAAGAAGAGUCCAGCAGCAGAGAGCAGACUCCCCUGGACCCAGAUGUGUCUCCAUGAAGAGUGACAGCUCUAUGGAUCCUCCUGUUGGGUUUAAAGAUGGAAAUCAGUCUAUUGAGAAGAGAGUCCAGAAGGAGAGAGCAGACUCCCCUGGACCCAUUUGUGUCUCCAUGAAGAGUGACCACUCUAUGGAUCAUCCUGGC
ensembl:lncRNA